rnacentral:siRNA from 1 species
CGAGGUGAGUCACGGCGAGGUGAU